rnacentral:rRNA from 1 species
UAAUGCAGUCGAGCGAACAGAGAAGGAGCUUGCUCCUUUGACGUUAGCGGCGGACGGGUGAGUAACACGUGGGCAACCUACCUUAUAGUUUGGGAUAACUCCGGGAAACCGGGGCUAAUACCGAAUAAUCUGUUUCACCUCAUGGUGAAAUAUUGAAAGACGGUUUCGGCUGUCGCUAUAGGAUGGGCCCGCGGCGCAUUAGCUAGUUGGUGAGGUAACGGCUCACCAAGGCGACGAUGCGUAGCCGACCUGAGAGGGUGAUCGGCCACACUGGGACUGAGACACGGCCCAGACUCCUACGGGAGGCAGCAGUAGGGAAUCUUCCACAAUGGGCGAAAGCCUGAUGGAGCAACGCCGCGUGAGUGAAGAAGGAUUUCGGUUCGUAAAACUCUGUUGUAAGGGAAUUUUUUUUUUUAGUAUUAACUGG